rnacentral:rRNA from 1 species
GUCGAGCGAACAGACGAGGAGCUUGCUCCUCUGACGUUAGCGGCGGACGGGUGAGUAACACGUGGAUAACCUACCUAUAAGACUGGGAUAACUUCGGGAAACCGGAGCUAAUACCGGAUAAUAUAUUGAACCGCAUGGUUCAAUAGUGAAAGACGGCUUUGCUGUCACUUAUAGAUGGAUCCGCGCCGCAUUAGCUAGUUGGUAAGGUAACGGCUUACCAAGGCAACGAUGCGUAGCCGACCUGAGAGGGUGAUCGGCCACACUGGAACUGAGACACGGUCCAGACUCCUACGGGAGGCAGCAGUAGGGAAUCUUCCGCAAUGGGCGAAAGCCUGACGGAGCAACGCCGCGUGAGUGAUGAAGGUCUUCGGAUCGUAAAACUCUGUUAUUAGGGAAGAACAAAUGUGUAAGUAACUAUGCACGUCUUGACGGUACCUAAUCAGAAAGCCACGGCUAACUACGUGCCAGCAGCCGCGGUAAUACGUAGGUGGCAAGCGUUAUCCGGAAUUAUUGGGCGUAAAGCGCGCGUAGGCGGUUUUUUAAGUCUGAUGUGAAAGCCCACGGCUCAACCGUGGAGGGUCAUUGGAAACUGGAAAACUUGAGUGCAGAAGAGGAAAGUGGAAUUCCAUGUGUAGCGGUGAAAUGCGCAGAGAUAUGGAGGAACACCAGUGGCGAAGGCGACUUUCUG